GAGCACAGUUGGUAGAGCAUGAGACACUUAAUCUCAGGGCCAUGGGUUCGAGUCUCAGGUUGGGACA